CGGGGCUCUCUCUUCGCGCCGGCCUGCUCACUUGCAGCACUCUGUGUCCUUUGUUUGUGCACUCAUUAGUUCUUCCACUUUAGCUUUCCCACUCAACACCUCUCUACAACCAACACUUCCACGCAUGACUGAUGCUACAGAUUGUACACAUAGGUUACACUGUUAAGUUACUUUAGGCACCUUUUCUAAAUAAAUCUCUGUAAUUGGCAUCCCUCGUUGUUCCGCGUCUUGUUUGUCAAGUCUCUCACGAGCCGGGCUUGACAAACCUCAACUUGUUUUCAUGACUCA